rnacentral:rRNA from 1 species
AUUGAACGCUGGCGGCAUGCCUUACACAUGCAAGUCGAACGGCAGCACGGGAGCAAUCCUGGUGGCGAGUGGCGAACGGGUGAGUAAUAUAUCGGAACGUGCCCAGUCGUAGGGGAUAACUGCUCGAAAGAGCAGCUAAUACCGCAUACGACCUGAGGGUGAAAGGGGGGGAUCGCAAGACCUCUCGAUAUUGGAGCGGCCGAUAUCAGAUUAGCUAGUUGGUGGGGUAAAGGCCUACCAAGGCAACGAUCUGUAGUUGGUCUGAGAGGACGACCAGCCACACUGGGACUGAGACACGGCCCAGACUCCUAUGGGAGGCAGCAGUGGGGAAUUUUGGACAAUGGGCGCAAGCCUGAUCCAGCAAUGCCGCGUGCAGGAAGAAGGCCUUCGGGUUGUAAACUGCUUUUGUCAGGGAAGAAAUCCUCUAGGUUAAUACCCUUGGGGGGAUGACGGUACCUGAAGAAUAAGCACCGGCUAACUACGUGCCAGCAGCCGCGGUAACAC